AGAAAAAGAAAUCAACUUAAGUGGCCUGAGUGACGUCAGUAAAUACUGACAAACAAUGACUAAAGUGACCAGAAAAUCCAAUAAAUAAAUAUUUAAAUAUUUGGUGAAAAUUAACAAAACAAACAAAUAAACAGAAUAACUUAAGGUGGGAAUAGAAUACUACUAGUUUCAACUGUGUGGGAAACUGCCCACAACCUGGUGUCACUGAAAUAUUUCAAAAAAUAAAAACAAAGAGUAGGGCUGGAUGGUACUGAAAUGGCACUCAAAUUGUUAGCAAGGAACACAAGUUGGUUCACUGGUUUUAAGGCAGCCCUGGUGCAUGUAACAACAUUGCCUCCAGAACUGAAAAUCCGUUCAGAGGGUGUGCUGGUGGCUGGGAUACACAGGUACUUUUUUGCAAGUAGGCUCAGCCUUGGAAAUCCACGCUCAUUUUCCUUCCACCACAGCAGCGGGUUGGAUUCUGAGUCUGCAUCUGGUGACGUCAAGUAUCUCUCCAACUCGCUUUCUACCUUUUCCUUCUCAGUGAGAUGUUGUGAGGCAUCAGGGGUAGGGUUCUGUUUCUUGAAGAAGCUUCCCAACGAUUUCCGCUGCUUCUUUCCAGGUGGUGUAGUAUGUUCUCCAGCGGCAACUGAACCUGUUGGCUCUGCACCUGGAACAGAGAGGGGGAGAGACAGACGUACAGAGACAGAGGAGAGCACAAAUAAGUUCAAAAAAGUUUGAAAUGUCUGAAACAAAAUCAUGCUAUAUGUUAUGUUAUUUAGAAGUGGUAGUUAUAUAGUUUGAUAUGCUUAAACACAGAUAAUUUUAACUGUACUAAAAUAUUUUCAAGGUAAAAAUCUUAUGGAAAUUAUACAAUUAGCUUCCAUUAUUUUAACAAGAAGCAAUGCAGUCUCAUUUAUCCUUAUUAACCCACCUGCUACUUCUGAAGCCCCUGUACGGAACUGGCCAGCAUCCAAGGUUUCAGCCACUGCCCUUGUUUUGAUAGCUUCUACCUUGUCUUGCUUGAUGUACUCCAUCUUGAAUCUGGGGUCAACUAAGGUAGCCAUGUCGAGUAAGUCAUCAGUGUCAGGAUCUGCAUAUUUCUCAUCAAGGUAUUCCAAAAUUUUGGUCUUCAUCUCUUUUGUGAGAGGUGUGUCUCCUUCACUCACAUGUAGGUGUUGCGAGCGGAACAGAUGGAGUACAGGCUUCACAUAUGACUCCCCAGAGAGGCUGUCUGUAAAGUCCACCAGAGGACCUAGUGCCUCAUUCAUAGACUCCCAGACUUCUAUGUCCUGCCAGUGUGGUACCAUAUGCCGGGUGUGUUUGUCUGCAGCAAGGACUUGGGAGAUGGGCUUCUGUUGCUCCAGCACUCUUGCAACCAUUUUUUGUCGAGAGCCCCAUCUGGUCGCCAACUCUGUGCAUAGCUUGUGUGGGGGGACCCCGCACUGUAUCUGAGCCUCAGCUAGAUCUCUCUUCUUUUUCCAUGAAUAAGUAAAGGCUGCAACAACUUUUUUGCACAGAGCAACAGCCCUUUCCACUCGCUUGUCCUUGGAUGCUGCACCUGAAAUAGAGAUUUUAAAAAUCAUGUAAAAAUAGAAGCUUGCAGUAAUUCAUGUGAACCGUCAUAUUAUUGAUGAAAUCAUGUUAUUUUAAUUGCUAUUAAUUUAAAUUGCAGGCUUAUCUUGAUACAUUUUUUAAAUUUCAUUUAAAAGUUUAUAUAUAUAUGUACUUAUAUGUAUACUUAUUUAUAUAAUUGCUCAGACAUUUGGUUUAGACUGUGUGCCAAAUCCUGGCCAAUAAAACUGAUUCUAAUUCAGUAAAGUAACAAGCUACUCACCGAUGGCAGAGUGUAGACGGUGCCCAAAACACUGGAGUCGAGUCCAGUGAUUGAGAGCUGUGGCUUUGACGCUGUUAGCACCGCUAUCAGUUGUGAUGCACACGAGUUUGGCUUUAUCCAGACCCCAUGACUCCAGUAAUUCAGCCAAGCCUCUUGCAAUUAUCUCUGCUGUGUGGUCGUCUGGAAAGUAAGCCGUUUCCAGACAUUUGCUUUUCAGGUUCCAUUCUCCGUCUAUGUAGUGAACGGAGAGGCUGAGGUAGGGCUCGGACGUGCGACUCGACCAGAGGUCCGACGUUGUGGCAAAGAAAGAAACCGAUAACAGCUCAUUCUGCACCGAUUCCCUGCACUCGUUGUACAGAUUAGGAAGCGCUGUGUUCGAAAAAUACUUGCGGCCAGGAACUUCAUAGCGAGGGUCAAGUGUGGCUGGAAGCUGUUUGAAGGCAGGCUUUUCAACUGUGCUUAUUGGCAGCAUGUCCCUCGCUAUGAAGCACGUUAUGGCAUGUGUGAUGUCCUUAUGCCGCUUGGAGGCUUUAUCGUAUUUGUGACUAGAAAUGAAGUCCAGUUUGGUUUGCUUAACUUGUUUUAUGCUGGUGCUGGUGCUGGCAGCGGAUUCCUCCGACGAUGUGGAGCCGCGGCGCGGCCUACACAACUCGUACUCCUGCGGGUGCGACCGGUUGAGAUGAU
rnacentral:lncRNA from 1 species